rnacentral:rRNA from 1 species
GACGAACGCUGGCGGCGUGCCUAAUACAUGCAAGUAGAACGCACAGUUUAUACCGUAGCUUGCUACACCAUAAACUGUGAGUUGCGAACGGGUGAGUAACGCGUAGGUAACCUGCCUGGUAGCGGGGGAUAACUAUUGGAAACGAUAGCUAAUACCGCAUAAUAUUAAUUAUUGCAUGAUAAUUGAUUGAAAGAUGCAAUUGCAUCACUACCAGAUGGACCUGCGUUGUAUUAGCUAGUAGGUGAGGUAACGGCUCACCUAGGCGACGAUACAUAGCCGACCUGAGAGGGUGAUCGGCCACACUGGGACUGAGACACGGCCCAGACUCCUACGGGAGGCAGCAGUAGGGAAUCUUCGGCAAUGGACGAAAGUCUGACCGAGCAACGCCGCGGGAGGGAAGAAGGUUUUCGGAUCGUAAAGCUCUGUUGUAAGAGAAGAACGGGUGUGAGAGUGGAAAGUUCACACUGUGACGGUAUCUUACCAGAAAGGGACGGCUAACUACGUG